CAGUCGCCACGGGAAUACGAAGGGGGCUAGCGUUGCUCGGAAUGACUGGGCGUAAAGGGCGCGUAGGCGGCGAUCAAAGUCAGGCGUGAAAUUCCUGGGCUCAACCUGGGGGCUGCGCUUGAUACUUGGUUGCUUGAGUGGGGAAGAGGGUCGUGGAAUUCCCAGUGUAGAGGUGAAAUUCGUAGAUAUUGGGAAGAACACCGGUGGCGAAGGCGGCGACCUGGUCCUUGACUGACGCUGAGGCGCGAAAGCGUGGGGAGCAAACAGGAUUAGAUACCCCAGUAGUCCCUGUCUCUUAUAC
rnacentral:rRNA from 1 species